UACAGGGGGUGCGAGCGUUAUUCGGAGUUACUGGGCGUAAAGCGCACGUAGGUGGCUUAGCAAGUCUGGUGUGAAAGCCCCGGACUCAAUUCGGGAAGUGCAUUGGAUACUGCUAGGCUAGAGUGUAGGAGGGGAGAGCGGAAUUCCUGGUGUAGAGGUGAAAUUCGUAGAUAUCAGGAGGAACAACGGAGGCGAAGGCGGCUCUCUAGACUACAACUGACACUCAGGUGCGAAAGCGUGGGGAGCAAAC
rnacentral:rRNA from 1 species